CUAAGAAUCUUCCGCAAUGGGCGCAAGCCUGACGGAGCGACGCCGCGUGGACGAUGAAGGCCGUAAGGUUGUAAAGUCCUUUUCUCUGUGAGGAAUGAGUGUGGGAGUGGAAAGCCCACAUGAUGACGGUAACGGAGGAAUAAGCACCGGCUAACUACGUGCCAGCAGCCGCGGUAAUACGUAGGGUGCGAGCGUUGUUCGGAGUUAUUGGGCGUAAAGGGCGUGUAGGCGGCUUGAGAAGUCUGGUUUGAAAUGCACUGGCUCAACUGGUGCGCUGGGUCAGAAACUGGCAGGCUUGAGUUCAUGGGGAGGAGCUGGAAUUCCAGGUGUAGGGGUGAAAUCUGUAGAGAUCUGGAAGAACACCGGUAGCGAAGGCGGGCUCCUAUGGAUGGACUGACGCUGAGGCGCGAAAGCGUGGGGAGCAAACAGGAUUAGAUACCCUGGUAGUCCACGCUGUAAACGAUGUGCACUAGGUAUGGGAUACGAGAUGUAUUCCGUGUCGGAGCGAACGCGUUAAGUGCACCGCCUGGGGAGUAUGCUCGCAAGGGUG
rnacentral:rRNA from 1 species